UACGGAGGAUGCGAGCGUUAUCCGGAUUUAUUGGGUUUAAAGGGUGCGUAGGCGGAAUAUCAAGUCAGCGGUAAAAAUUCGGGGCUCAACCCCGUCGUGCCGUUGAAACUGAUGUUCUUGAGUGGGCGAGAAGUAUGCGGAAUGCGUGGUGUAGCGGUGAAGUGCAUAGAUAUCACGCAGAACUCCGAUUGCGAAGGCAGCAUACCGGCGCCCAACUGACGCUGAAGCACGAAAGCGUGGGUAUCGAACAGG
rnacentral:rRNA from 1 species